rnacentral:lncRNA from 1 species
GAAUAACAAAUUUAGUUGUAAAUUUGUCGAUGCUCAAUCGAAAGAGUUGCUUCAAAUAUUGAACAAGUCUUUUGGCAUACUUGAAGAUUUGUUCUCAAUAGAACAUCAGUCCUCUGAGAGAGAAAAGACAAGUAUGGUGCAAUGGUAUCAUGCUAGGACUUCCAAGCUCAAUUGAACUAACCAGUCUAAGGCAGACUAGAGUCAGGCGAAAUAUUUUUUUUAUAAGAAGCUGG